rnacentral:pre_miRNA from 1 species
AUACUACUCCCUCCGAUCCAUGUUACUUGUCGCUCAAAUGGAUUUAUCUGGAUGUAUUCAGUGCUAGAUACAUCCGUUUGAGCGACAAGUAAUAUGGAUCGGAGGGGGUAAUAU